UAAGAGUUUGAUCAUGGCUCAGAUUGAACGCUAGCGACAGGCUUAACACAUGCAAGUCGUGCGAAUUCUGUUUAUUUUAAAUAAUAGAAAGCGGCGAACGGGUGAGUAAUAUCUAGGAAUCUACCUAAUAGAAUGGGAUAACUAUUGGAAACGAUAGCUAAUACCAUAUAAUGUCAAUGUUUAUUUUAUCAAAUUUGUUUAUGAUAAAUAAUAAUGAAAUAAUUUUUAUAAUAAAUAUUAAUUAUUAUUUUUAUAAUAAUUUUAAUUAAUAAAAACUUUAUAUUCAAAAUUUUAAUAUUGAAUUAAUAUUUAUAAUGUAUAUUAAAAUUUAAUUUUUUUAUUAUAUUAAUUAUUAAACAAAAUUAAUAAUUUUUAAUAUAAAAAAUUAUUUUAAUUUUAUAAAUGUUUCAUUAUAUAUAAAGUUAAAAUUAUAACAUUAUUAUUUUGAAACAUUAAUAUUAGGUUUAUACUAUUUUAACUAUUUUAAUGUAUUUAUUUACGAUGUUAUCUUUUUUUUAAUAAAUAUUUUUUUUGAUUGUUUUAUAUUAUAUAAUUUUUUUUUAAAAAAGGUUUUUAAUUUUAUUUUAAAUUAUAUAUUAAUGUUUUUUUUAUAAAAUAAAAUUUAAUUGAUUAUAUACAUUUUAAUAGUUAUAUAGUAUAAAUUUUGUAUUUUUUUUUGAUAAAUAUUUUUAUUAUUCUAUUUUAAUUUAUUAAAUUUAUAAUUAUUAAUUCUAAAAUUUUAUUUUAAAAUAAAUUUUUAUAAAUAAAAUAAAUUAAAAGACCAAAGCGGGGAUAACGUUUUUAAUAAUAUGCUCUCGCGCUGUUAGAUGAGCCUAGACGAGAUUAGCUUGUUGGUAAGGUAAUGGCUUACCAAGGCAAUGAUCUCUAGUUGGUCUGAGAGGAUGACCAGCCACACUGGAACUGAGACACGGUCCAGACUCUUACGGGAGGCAGCAGUGGGGAAUAUUGCACAAUGGGCGCAAGCCUGAUGCAGCUAUGUCGCGUGUAUGAAGAAGACCUUAGGGUUGUAAAGUACUUUCAAUAGCAUAAGAAGGUAAUGAAACUAAUAAUUUUGUUAUCAGACGUUAGCUAUAAAAGAAGCACCGGCUAACUCCGUGCCAGCAGCCGCGGUAAUACGGAGGGUGCUAGCGUUAAUCGGAAUUACUGGGCGUAAAGAGCACUUAGGUGGUUUAUUAAGUCAAGUGUGAAAUCCCUAGACUUAAUCUAGGAACUGCAUUUGAAACUAAUAGACUAGAGUUUCGUAGAGGGAGGUAGAAUUCUAGGUGUAGCGGUGAAAUGCAUAGAUAUCUAGAGGAAUAUCAGUGGCGAAGGCGACCUCCUGGACGAUAACUGACGCUAAAAUGCGAAAGCAUGGGUAGCAAACAGGAUUAGAUACCCUGGUAGUCCAUGCUGUAAACGAUGUCGACUAAGAAGUUGAAAGCUUUGACUUAUAAUUUCUGUAGCUAACGCGUUAAGUCGACCGCCUGGGGAGUACGGCCGCAAGGCUAAAACUCAAAUGAAUUGACGGGGGCCUGCACAAGCGGUGGAGCAUGUGGUUUAAUUCGAUGCAACGCGUAAAACCUUACCUGGUCUUGACAUCCACAGAAUUUUAUAGAAAUAUAAAAGUGCAAUUUGAACUGUGAGACAGGUGCUGCAUGGCUGUCGUCAGCUCGUGUUGUGAAAUGUUGGGUUAAGUCCCGCAACGAGCGCAACCCUUGUUUUUUGUUACCAUCAGAUAAAGCUGGGGACUCAAAAGAAACUGCCAGUUAUAAACUGGAGGAAGGUGGGGACGACGUCAAGUCAUCAUGGCCCUUACGACCAGGGCUACACACGUGCUACAAUGGCGUAUACAAAGAGAUGCAAUAUUGUAAAAUAAAGCUAAUCUAUAAAAUACGUCUUAGUUCGGACUGGAGUCUGCAACUCGACUCCACGAAGUCGGAAUCGCUAGUAAUCGUGGAUCAGCAUGCCACGGUGAAUAUGUUUCCAGGCCUUGUACACACCGCCCGUCACACCAUGGAAGUGGGUUGCAAAAGAAGUAGAUUAAUUUAACCUUCUUAACAAGAAAAUAGUUUACCACUUUGUGAUUCAUGACUGGGGUGAAGUCGUAACAAGGUAACCGUAGGGGAACCUGUGGUUGGAUUACCUCCUU
rnacentral:rRNA from 1 species